GACACCCUGCCUUGUGCGAGAAAAGUUCGGCAAUACUAACCCAACGUUUUUUAAUUAGGGAUGCUGACUCCGACAGCGGAUUGCAGACCUCCCGCUUUUGCGGACGAAGGGAGCGUGAACCUGUUGGGCGGCAACCCACCUGCUUUUGAAUGCAGGUUAAUAUUCGCCAUCUACAGCUUGGUGGGGUGUCU
rnacentral:other from 1 species